rnacentral:snRNA from 1 species
ACCGUGAAAGCGUGGCCUAUCGA